GGAUUUUAUGCCCUGAGAGCAUAUGAUAGCAUUUCAACUAUUAUAAAGGCCAUGGAGAAAAUGUCCAGCAACAGUAGUAGUAGUCCAAAUGAGUUCUUGAAUAAUAUAUUGUCAAGCAAUUUCUCUGGUUUAAGUGGUCAGAUACGUUUCAAAGCAGGCGAGUUAAUGCAUAGUCCUAAACUGGGGAUUGUGAACGUGGUUGGAAAGAAAUAUAAGGAGAUAGACUUCUGGUUGCCUAGGUACGGAUUCUGGGAAAGUAAUGAAGAAGGUGGAGGACAUCAAAACGGUGGUGGGUCUCUGCAACUGCAAGGUCAUGUGAAUUGGCCUGGGAACCUAAAGCGGAUUCCAAAAGGCUGGGCAAUGCCUUCAAAUACAAAACCCAUGACUAUUGGCGUUCCAGGGAGAACCUCGUUC
rnacentral:misc_RNA from 1 species